CCUACGGGGAGCAGCAGUAGGGAAUCUUCCACAAUGGGCGAAAGCCUGAUGGAGCAACGCCGCGUGGGUGAAGAAGGUCUUCGGAUCGUAAAACCCUGUUGUUAGAGAAGAAAGUGCGUGAGAGUAACUGUUCACGUUUCGACGGUAUCUAACCAGAAAGCCACGGCUAACUACGUGCCAGCAGCCGCGGUAAUACGUAGGUGGCAAGCGUUAUCCGGAUUUAUUGGGCGUAAAGGGAACGCAGGUGGGCUUUUAAGUCUGAUGUGAAAGCCUGCGGCUUAACCGGAAUAGUGCAUUUGAUACUGGCAGUCUUGAGUGCAGUAGAGGUGGGCGGAAUUCGAUGUGUAGCGGUGAAAUGCUUAGAUAUAACGAAGAACACCAGUGGCGAAAGCAGCUUUCUAGACUGCCACUGACAUUGAGGCUCGAAAGCGUGGGUAGCAAACAGGAUUAGAUACCCCGGUAGUC
rnacentral:rRNA from 1 species